rnacentral:rRNA from 1 species
AUUGAACGCUGGCGGCAUGCCUUACACAUGCAAGUCGAACGGUAACAGGUUAAGCUGACGAGUGGCGAACGGGUGAGUAAUGUAUCGGAACGUGCCCAGUCGUGGGGGAUAACUGCUCGAAAGAGCAGCUAAUACCGCAUACGACCUGAGGGUGAAAGCGGGGGAUCGCAAGACCUCGCGCGAUUGGAGCGGCCGAUAUCAGAUUAGGUAGGUGGUGAGGUAAAGGCUCACCAAGCCGACGAUCUGUAGCUGGUCUGAGAGGACGACCAGCCACACUGGGACUGGGACACGGCCCAGACUCCUACGGGAGGCAGCAGUGGGGAAUUUUGGACAAUGGGCGCAAGCCUGAUCCAGCCAUGCCGCGUGCGGGAAGAAGGCCUUCGGGUUGUAAACCGCUUUUGUCAGGGAAGAAAAGGUUCUGGCUAAUACCUGGGACUCAUGACGGUACCUGAAGAAUAAGCACCGGCUAACUACGUGCCAGCAGCCGCCGUAACAC